rnacentral:rRNA from 1 species
CGUAGGGUGCGAGCGUUAAUCGGAAUUACUGGGCGUAAAGCGUGCGCAGGCGGUUUUGUAAGACAGGCGUGAAAUCCCCGGGCUCAACCUGGGAACUGCGCUUGUGACUGCAAGGCUAGAGUACGGCAGAGGGGGGUGGAAUUCCACGUGUAGCAGUGAAAUGCGUAGAGAUGUGGAGGAACACCAAUGGCGAAGGCAGCCCCCUGGGUCGAUACUGACGCUCAUGCUCGAAAGCGUGGGUAGCAAACAGGAUUAGAUACCCUGGUAGUCCACGCCCUAAACGAUGUCAACUAGGUGUUGGGAGGGUAAAACCUUUUAGUACCGGAGCUAACGCGUGAAGUUGACCGCCUGGGGAGUACGGCCGCAAGGUUA